AUGAACGCUGGCGGCGUGCCUAAUACAUGCAAGUCGAGCGAACAGAUGAGGAGCUUGCUCCUCUGACGUUAGCGGCGGACGGGUGAGUAACACGUGGAUAACCUACCUAUAAGACUGGGAUAACUUCGGGAAACCGGAGCUAAUACCGGAUAAUAUAUUGAACCGCAUGGUUCAAUAGUGAAAGACGGUUUUGCUGUCACUUAUAGAUGGAUCCGCGCCGCAUUAGCUAGUUGGUAAGGUAACGGCUUACCAAGGCGACGAUGCGUAGCCGACCUGAGAGGGUGAUCGGCAACACUGGAACUGAGACACGGUCCAGACUCCUACGGGAGGCAGCAGUAGGGAAUCUUCCGCAAUGGGCGAAAGCCUGACGGAGCAACGCCGCGUGAGUGAUGAAGGUCUUCGGAUCGUAAAACUCUGUUAUUAGGGAAGAACAAAUGUGUAAGUAACUAUGCACGUCUUGACGGUACCUAAUCAGAAAGCCACGGCUAACUACGUG
rnacentral:rRNA from 1 species